rnacentral:rRNA from 1 species
GACGAACGCUGGCGGCGUGCUUAACACAUGCAAGUCGAACGGAAAGGCCCUGCUUUUGUGGGGUGCUCGAGUGGCGAACGGGUGAGUAACACGUGAGUAACCUGCCCUUGACUUUGGGAUAACUUCAGGAAACUGGGGCUAAUACCGGAUAGGAGCUCCUGCUGCAUGGUGGGGGUUGGAAAGUUUCGGCGGUUGGGGAUGGACUCGCGGCUUAUCAGCUUGUUAGUGGGGUAGUGGCUUACCAAGGCUUUGACGGGUAGCCGGCCUGGGAGGGUGACCGGCCACAUUGGGACUGAGAUACGGCCCAGACUCCUACGGGAGGCAGCAGUGGGGAAUAUUGCACAAUGGGCGGAAGCCUGAUGCAGCAACGCCGCGUGCGGGAUGACGUCCUUCGGGUUGUAAACCGCUUUCGCCUGUGACGAAGCGUGAGUGACGGUAAUGGGUAAAGAAGCACCGGCUAACUACGUG